CCUACGGGAGGCUGCAGUGAGGAAUAUUGGUCAAUGGGCGCGAGCCUGAACCAGCCAAGUAGCGUGAAGGAUGACUGCCCUACGGGUUGUAAACUUCUUUUAUAAAGGAAUAAAGUGAGGCACGUGUGCCUUUUUGUAUGUACUUUAUGAAUAAGGAUCGGCUAACUCCGUGCCAGCAGCCGCGGUAAUACGGAGGAUCCGAGCGUUAUCCGGAUUUAUUGGGUUUAAAGGGAGCGUAGAUGGGUUGUUAAGUCAGUUGUGAAAGUUUGCGGCUCAACCGGGCCGGCCGUUGAAACUGGGGAUCUUGAGUGGGCGAGAAGUAUGCGGAAUGCGUGGUGUAGCGGUGAAAUGCGUAGAUAUGACGCAGAACUCCGAUUGCGAAGGCAGCAUACCGGCGCCCGACUGACGCUGAGGCACGAAAGCGUGGGGAUCGAACAGGAUUAGAUACCCGAGUAGUC
rnacentral:rRNA from 1 species